UUUAUUAUUAAAUAAAAAAAAAAACAUAACAAAGUUUUUCCCUUCCCCUUCUUCUUCUCUCUCCUUGUCACCCUCUUCUCCCUUCUCCUUCACUCCCUUCAAUUUCCGCCCCCGCCUGCCACCUCUUCAUGGAGCCGCCGCUUCUUUUCCUUUUAUCUCUCUUGUCGGCGAUGUCGUAUUCUCCUCCUUCCUUGCUGCCGUCGACUUUUUGAAGGAAGGGAAGUCUCCUCCCACGCUACCGACACAAGACUAGCCGCCUGUCGUCCACCUAUCGCAUAUCCGAUGUUGAAAAUAAGCUCCCCACUGUCGACAACCCCAAGUCAGCUCCUCCCCACCGUUUCUCCUCCACCAACAGCCUUUGUAUAGCCUCAUCGGAGCUUAUUUUCCUCCUCCACGAUCUAGCAUUUUUCGACAAUAGUUAGGCUGUGAUUUUGGUGUCUUUGAACUCCCCGCAACUCAAGCUUUGUGUAGGUGUCUCCAGAUUUAAAAUCCGACACCGUUGGCUGUACCGGCUUUCGGACCUGGUGUUUUUCGGACACGCAGAAGUUUGCGUUUUGGCUCGAUACUCCGUUCGUCCAGCCAGUUCCACCCGAGGUGUAAGAGCAGACUACGGAACACGACAGAACUGUGAAUUAAAGAUGAAACAACAGUAGAACAUUGCCACUUGAUGGGUUGUAUCAGGACCGCGUGCACAUUGAUAUUCAUCAAAGGAAGGUGACAGCUGGGUUCUCCACCGACUUCUUUUGCAGCCCGACUUCUCUUUCACCUACGGGCUUAUUGUAGUUAAAUCUUGCUUCUGUAUUUUAAGUUAUUUGGAAUUUUAGACUUCCCACAGUAAUGUACUUGGUACCUUACUUUAAUUUGGUAUGUUAAAAAUUAUGGGAUAAUUGCUAGUAAUCUAGCUAGAGGAUCAAUUUAAUUCUAUGCAGAUUUGUGAGUGAGAUGUUGGUUUAUUUUAAUAAUUUAUAAUCAUGUAUGCGUUUAUUUGGAUAUUUGGCUAUUUAGGCUUGCUACAGGUUUCGGUGACCUUAAGCCUACCCAUUUCCUAGUACCGGUCACGAGCCCACAGAUCGGAUUGUGACAAAGUUGGUAUUAGAGCCUAGGUUUAGAUUUCCUUCGAUCUAGUUUUUGCUAUGCCGAGGACUCGAGCAGUAGCGGCCCAAGAGGCCCAAUCUGAGGUUUCCACCUAGUCGGCCUCACCAGCACCAGCCCGUGAUACCAGGAAGCGAGGUAGGCCUCGAGCGGUAGCCCGGCCAGAUCAGGGCGAGGCUGAGGAGGCACCCGGUGCUGGUGGAGUCUUAAUUGAAGCGUUUAUAGCUAACAUGAUCGGGAUACAUAGGGCAUUAAAGUAUUUAUUGGCUUUUCAACAACAGUAGGCUGCCUAGGGUUCAGGGAGCCGCAGUAAUAAGUCAAGUAUCGGGAAUCUGGAUGAGGUCCCCAUGUCUGAGUAUACUAAACUGAGACUCAUGGAGUUUGAUGGGGUAUCUAGGGACUCUUUGGACUUCCUAGACGAGGUUAAGAAGAUGACAUCGGAUUUACACUGUUCAGAUAAGAGGACCAUCGAGAUGGCAGGAUUUUCUCUAAAGGGGAUAGCAUCUCAGUGGUUCAGGGAUUAUAUUCGUCCCUUUUUGGUUGGUACGUCAUAGAGACAAUUUAGGGACAUGUUCAAGGAGUAUUUCAUCACAUUCAAUGUGAGGUAGGAGUACAGAGAGAGGUUCGAGAGGCUAGUUAAGGGCGACCUGUCAGUGGCAGAGUACACUAGGCAAUUUGUGCAGCUGAGUAGGUACGCACCCUAUGCUAUGGGGACCGAGGAGCAUAAGAACAACAAGUAUAUUUCAGGACUUGGUCCAAAGUUUGUCUCCUUGGUUCAAUCUAGGAGGAGCAACUUUUUGAAAGUGACUAAAUGUGUAUUAAUAGGUGGAGAACGUGUAUUAAUUAUCGAGUGUUCAAUAAGCAAAUUGUCAAAAAUGGACUUAUCCCUUUAAUUAAAGAGUUAUUAGAUGAA